UACGUAGGAUGCAAGCGUUGUCCGGAAUUAUUGGGCGUAAAGGGCGCGUAGGCGGCCACGCACGUCCGUUGUGAAAUCGCCCGGCUCAACUGGGCGGGGUCAGCGGAUACGGUGUGGCUCGAGCAAGCUAGGGGGCAAUGGAAUUCCCGGUGUAGUGGUGGAAUGCGUAGAUAUCGGGAGGAACACCAGUGGCGAAAGCGGCUCUCUGGUUCAAUACUGACACUGAGAUGCGAAAGCGUGGGGAGCGAACGGG
rnacentral:rRNA from 1 species